rnacentral:rRNA from 1 species
CCUACGGGAGACAGCAGUGAGGAAUAUUGGUCAAUGGACGAGAGUCUGAACCAGCCAAGUAGCGUGAAGGAUGACUGCCCUAUGGGUUGUAAACUUCUUUUAUAUGGGAAUAAAAUGUUCCACGUGUGGGAUUUUGUAUGUACCAUAUGAAUAAGGAUCGGCUAACUCCGUGCCAGCAGCCGCGGUAAUACGGAGGAUCCGAGCGUUAUCCGGAUUUAUUGGGUUUAAAGGGAGCGUAGGUGGAUUGUUAAGUCAGUUGUGAAAGUUUGCGGCUCAACCGUAAAAUUGCAGUUGAAACUGGCAGUCUUGAGUACAGAGAGGUGGGCGGAAUUCGUGGUGUAGCGGUGAAAUGCUUAGAUAUCACGAAGAACUCCGAUUGCGAAGGCAGUUCACUGGACUGCAACUGACACUGAGGCUCGAAAGUGUGGGUAUCAAACAGGAUUAGAUACCCGAGUAGUC